AAUGAACGCUGGCGGCAUGCCUAAUACAUGCAAGUCGAACGAGACCCUCGGGUCUUUUGGCGCACGGGUGCGUAACGCGUGGGAACCUGCCCUUAGGUUUGGAAUAACUCCCCGAAUGGGGUGCUAAUACCGGAUAAUGUCUUCGGACCAAAGAUCUAUCGCCUUUGGAUGGGCCCGCGUUGGAUUAGCUAGUUGGUAGGGUAAAAGCCUACGAAGGGGACAAUCCAUAGCUGGUCUGUGAGGAUGUUCAGCCACACUGGGACUGGGACACGGCCCAGACUCUUACGGGACGCAGCAGUGUGGAAUAUUGGAACGUGGGCGGAGUCCUGAUCCAGCUAUGCCGCGUGAGUGAUGAUGGCCUUAGGGUUGUAAAGCGCAUUUACCCGGGAUGAUAAUGACGGUACCUGGUCAAUAAGCGCCGGCUAACUCCGUG
rnacentral:rRNA from 1 species